rnacentral:lncRNA from 1 species
UGAAAAUGUAGCUUGGGUGCCUUGAUCAUCUCCAGAGUGACUGAUGCAAGGGAAGCAUCUCAGCAGGGGCUCGCAGGGAGUGAGUCAGGAGGGCUGGAGUGUCACCUCUUGAGUCACUGCUGGCAGCACUGGAAGCCCCCCCUGCCCUUUUCAUGUGUGAGUGGUGAUGGAGUCACAGUCCCCUUGGGGGCCAUCAGGGGAAAAUCAUCAAUUUAUCAUCGAAGCCUGAAAUAAAGAGAGAAAUUCUCCCCUGGGAUGCUGACCCAACCAGCAACUGUGGCAAGAGAUGCUUCCUGGAAGGGCAACAGGAAAGGUUCUCCCACCUGCUCCACAGCUUGCCUGGUGGCAGCUUCACAGGAAUGCUUCAGGAUGCAGCAGGAGAGCUCAGCCUGUGACUCCAGGUGUUGUCCUGCACCUGCUGCAGAGCAACUCUUGCACCUCCUCCCUCCACCCCGUGCUCCUGGAGCAAUGUGUGUGUCCCUGGGAGAUCCCCAGCACGGCUGUGAGUGCAGCACUCCCACCCUGGACCACCCAGCUCUUUCCCAAGAGGCUGGGCUCUGAAAAUCCACCUGCCACAGGCACAUUUCUGCACCUGUUUUUGGCUUCUCCUCGGAGGAGCGGCGUGCCUUUGCUCUUGAGGAUGUGCUGUGCCCCUCUGUGGAAAACCCAGUUGGAACAAUAAAACAUCUGUUCCCGAGCCCAGCAGCUGGACUGAAAUGAAAUGACGUUAGCAUCAAUUAUCCUCCGGGGUGGGGAGGCUGCAGAACGACGCAGAUUUCCUUAACGCUGAAUAACAAAUGAGAACAACAGCUUGGCUCGGUGGCUUCUGUGUUCCCGGAGAGCUUCCAAACCCCCACCUGCUCCAGCCCUUGGCUUUGGGCUGCCAAGUGGGUACCACAGCGAGGCAGGGUGAGGGAGAUGCUUUUGCACCAACAAUUGGGGGGUAAAACCCCGUUUUUGGUGUCAUGGUUUAUGGCUGCAGUGGUGGGGGAGAUUUUCUUGAAUGCAGCAAGUGAUUUUUUUAUUUUUUUUUGGGGUGGGGGGAAUGGGGUGGGGUUCAAUGGCUUCUUGCAGAGCCAGCACUGAGAGCUGUCCCAGCUGGGACACGGCCAGCGGUGGGUGCAGGCAGGCAGCCCGGAGCGGAGCUGGGGUUCACAGAGGGAUGAGGAUGAUGCAGAAUCACGUUCCCUGGGGAC